rnacentral:lncRNA from 1 species
CAGGUAGUUGUUAUGGAGUCAUGAAAGAGCCGAUUGUCUUAUGUGCUCGUCAGGUAGGAAGGAGAUGACCAUCGUGCUGAUUCGGGGAAAAGACUGAAAAGAAGCUCUCUCGAAUGAAGACCGUGCUCCCUUCUUUAUAGGGAGGAGAUCUUCUGCCCACGGCUAAAUAGAGAAGAGAAAGGGGUCUUUGGUUCUCCCCUAAGGCACGCCCAGAGGCAGUUAGCUUCUUUAUAUUGAGUAGCCUCUUAUCUGGCAGUAUGUAUUGAAGAAGUCGUUCCCCAUCAGUGUAAUCAGAAUCCCAUAUCAGUCAUCAAAGAUGAAGAAUGAAGUUAGCUACUGAUCAGAUAUGGAAUAUGGAUGAUAGCAUCCUUGUGAGUACAUUCUCUUAUAGAUCAGACAAAAUAAUUGAUUCACAUUAAAUCAGACAGAGUAAUUGAAGUCGCAUUCAGAUAUUUUUCGGUGAGAAAUCACAAAAUUUAGAAAUAAUAGAAUGAAUAAUGAUAGGGUUUAAACAGGGCUCGAUUCUAUUUUGGUAAUCCUUCUAAGAUGAAUUCUUAAUAUUCUCACUCCACCCUAGAACUUCGACUCUAAGGUCUUUUAACCAACUAAUUAAACCACCCAAAUUGUGUUUCCAAAAUUUUCC